rnacentral:lncRNA from 1 species
GAAACUCAUAGGUUGCAAGUGGGUCUAUAAGAUCAAAUAUAGGUCUGAUGGAAGUGUUGAAAGAUAUAAAGUUAGGCUUGCUAUUAGAGGAGACACCCAGAUUGAGGGGGUUGAUUUCACAGAAACAUUUUCCCAUGUGAUUAAAAUGUUUACUGUCAAAUGCUUAAUUGAUGUGGCUGUUAAGAAACACUGGGAUCUCUUUCAACUUGAUGUCAACAAUGCCUUCUUGCAUGGUGACCUAGAUGAGGAAGUUAUAUGAAACUACCUCCAUGUUUGAGUAUUUCUGAUCCUACUGUUUCCACUCCCAUUGUGUGCAAAUUGAAAAAAUCUCUUUAUGGGUUAAGACAGGAUUCAAGACAAUGGUAUGCCAAAUUGUCUCAAGCUCUGUAUUCAAGAGGUUAUAUGCAUUCUCUGAAUAAUUACUCUUUGUUUGUAAAGGGUCAGUCUGGGUGUCUUGUGCUUUUAGCAGUAUAUGUGGAUGAUAUUAUUAUCACUGGAGAUGAUACAACUGAAAUUUCUACCCUAAAACACUUCUUGGAUGAUCAGUUUAGGAUUAAAGACCUGAGGUCUUUACAUUACUUUCCGGGCUAAAACAUUUCUUGGAUGAUCAAUUUAGGAUUAAAGACCUGGGGUCUUUACAUUUCUGGGAAUUGAGGUGUCUGUUGUUCCUGGUGGA